UGCCUUGUAAUUGGAAUGAUGGUGACCUAAACCCUCACCAGAGUAACAAUUGGAGGGCAAGUCUGGUGCCAGCAGCCGCGGUAAUUCCAGCUCCAAUAGCGUAUAUUAAACUUGUUGCAGUUAAAAAGCUCGUAGUUGAAUUUCUGCGUUAUCGAGUUAUUGACUCUUGUCUUUAAUCGAUUUCGCUUUUGGGAUUUAUCCCUUUUUACUUUGAGAAAAUUAGAGUGUUUCAAGCAGACUUUUGUCUUGAAUACUUCAGCAUGGAAUAAUAGAGUAGGACUUUGGUUCUAUUUUGUUGGUUUUUGAACCUUAGUAAUGGUUAAUAGGAACGGUUGGGGGCAUUCGUAUUUAACUGUCAGAGGUGAAAUUCUUAGAUUUGUUAAAGACGAACUACUGCGAAAGCAUUUGCCAAGGACGUUUCCAUUAAUCAAGAACGAAAGUUAGGGGAUCGAAGACGAUCAGAUACCGUCGUAGUCCUAACCAUAAACUAUGCCGACUAGGGAUUGGAGGUCGUCAUUUUUCCGACUCCUUCAGCACCUUGAGAGAAAUCAAAGUCUUUGGA
rnacentral:rRNA from 1 species